rnacentral:rRNA from 1 species
AUACAGAGACCUCAAGCGUAUCCGGAUUUACUGGGCGUAAAGCGUCUGUUAGGGGGUUAUNAAGUUCCAAGUAAAAUUUCAAGGCUCAACCUUUGAAUUCGCUUGGAAAACUAAUAAACUGGAGUCUAGCAGAGGUGCAUGGAACUUGUGGUGUUAGGAGUGAAAUCCGUUGAUAUCACAAGGAACACCAAAGGCGAAGGCAUUUGCACUGGGCUAGCACUGACCCUGAGAGACGAAAGCGUGGGGAGCAAAACGGAUUAGAUACCCGUGUAGUCCACGCCCUAAACGAUGAAUGCUAAAUGUUCGGGGAUUCGACCCCCUGGGUGUUACAGCUAACGCGUUAAGCAUUCCGCCUGGGAAGUACGGCCGCAAGGCUAAAACUCAAAGGAAUAGACGGGGAUCCGCACAAGCGGUGGAGCGUCUGGUUUAAUUCGACAGUAAGCGUGGUACCUCACCAGGGUUUGACAUCCCUUGACAGCCUUGGAAACAAGGUUUCCUUCGGGCAAGGUGACAGGUGCUGCAUGGUCGUCGUCAGUUCGUGCCGUGAGGUGUUCCGUUAAGUCGGGAAACGAACGAAACCCCUAUUGCAUGUUACAAUUUCUCAUGCAAGACUGCCCGGAUAUACUGGGAGGAAGGUGGGGAUGACGUCAGAUCUGCAUGGUCCUUAUACCCUGGGCGACACAGGCGCUACAAUGGCAGAGACAAAGGGUUGCAAAACCGCAAGGUGAAGCUAAUCCCAAAAACUUUGUCUAAGUUCGGAUUGAAGGCUGCAAUUCGCCUUCAUGAAGCUGGAAUCGCUAGUAAUCGUGAAUCAGCCACGUCACGGUGAAUAUGUUCCCGGAUCUUGUACUCACCGCCCGUCACACCAAGAGAGUUGGUAGCUCCCGAAGCG